rnacentral:rRNA from 1 species
UACGGGGGGAGCAAGCGUUGUUCGGAUUUACUGGGCGUAAAGGGCGCGUAGGCGGCCACGACAAGUCACUUGUGAAAUCUCCGGGCUUAACUCGGAACGGUCAAGUGAUACUGUCGGGCUAGAGUGCAGAAGGGGCAACUGGAAUUCUCGGUGUAGCGGUGAAAUGCGUAGAUAUCGAGAGGAACACCUGCGGCGAAGGCGGGUUGCUGGGCCGACACUGACGCUGAGGCGCGAAAGCUAGGGGAGCGAACGGG